AUUUAGAUAGUUUAAUUAAAAUUUAGGUUUGUGGAUCCUAAGAUGUAUUAUAUAAUAAGUAUUCUAAGUU
rnacentral:tRNA from 1 species